rnacentral:tRNA from 1 species
GGGUGAUUGGCUCAGCUGGUUAGAGCGCAGUCCUGAUAAGACUGAGGUCAGUGGUUCGAGUCCACUAUCACCCA